rnacentral:lncRNA from 1 species
GAGGCCGGCAAAAAGAAAGCGUUCGUGACGUUCUUGGGAGGUGGCGGUGACUAUGUGAAGGGUGUGGUUGGGCUGGCUAAGGGACUGAGGCAAGUUAACUCAGCCUACCCUCUUGUGGUGGCUGUGCUGCCUGAUGUUCCGCAAGAGCACCGCCUUCUGAUGGUGCAGAGUGGGUGCAUUCUGAAAGAUAUUGACUGGGUGCAGCCACCGAAGAUUGACAAGUCGAUAGGGUGGGCUCAUGAGCAUUUUGCCAUCAACUACUCCAAGCUUCGCAUCUUCCAGGUAAUUUAAGUUGACGCUACUUGAGGAUAAUUUAAGUGCAUCUAUUUAGUUUUUGGUUUGUUCAGUUGGAUAUGGUCAAGCGGUUAGAAUUUUGGUCAAGUGGUCGGUUUGAUAAGUUCUUUAAAAAACAAGUUAUUUAUGAGAAAAAAUAUAUGUUACAUGUUUUGACUUUUUGGGAAGUAUCUGUCAACGUGGAAGAUCCGAGGCCUUUUAUCCUUUUCCAACAGAUUUGGAAAUAAUAAGUCGGUGGCGUCUAAUUUUUGAUAUAAUUUUUAUUUAUUUUGGUGCAGUUCGAGGAGUAUAGCAAGAUGGUAUACUUGGAUGGGGAUAUUCAAGUAUACGGCAACGUGGACGAGCUGUUUGACUUGCCGAAUGGCCAUUUGUAUGGCGUUUUGGAUUGUUUCUGUGAGUGGCAUCAUUCCCCGCAGUACAAGAUUGGCUACUGCCAACAGUGCCCUGAUAGAGUGCAGUGGCCAGCCGAAUUGGGUCAGCCUCCUUCCUCUUAUUUCAAUGCUGGAAUGUUCGUGUUCGAGCCGAGUCAAGCCACUUAUGAUGAUAUGAUGCACACUAUCAAAAUCACUCCUCCUUCGGCCUUCGCUGAACAGGUAUAACAUCAAAUUUGUUGACAUAUUAGCCUAUCGUAACUAUCAAGUGACCAGUUAUUCUAAAAUCUCGAAAUUACGUGCAGGACUUGUUGAACAUGUACUUCAGGGGAAUUUUCAAGCCGAUUCCAAAUAUUUACAAUCUUUUAGUUCCAAUGUUGUGGACUCAUCCGGAGAAUGUGGAGCUUGAGAAAGUGAAAGUUGUUCAUUUUUGCGCAAAUGUAAGAUACCGAUUACCAUGUGUUGAUUCGGUUCUUUGAUAUUCAACAAAUUCGCCUCGUUAAUUACUUAAACUAAUAUGUGUUGUACUAAUGACAGGGCUCGAAGCCGUGGAGAUACACUGGAAAGGAUGAGCAUAUGGACAGGGAAGAUGUGAAGAUGCUCGUGAAGAAAUGGUGGGACAUUUACAACGACGAGUCGUUAAGCUACAAGAAGCCAUUGGCAGCGAACGUCGGAGUUAAGGUUCCGAAAGAUCUUUCGGACAAGGAGAAGAGAGGCUUGCGUCCUAUGGUCACUGGUGUAGUUAAGGUUCCUGCUUCGUAGUGCUGCAACUUAAGUUGUGUAAUAAGGCGAGUAAUUAGUAGCUUGCGGUGUGUAUCGAUUUUUCAGUUUGGUUGUAUAUGUUUGAAUUCUUAUUUAUAUAAUAUUCAGAAUUUGUAUACUUUCUUCUUUUUAUACGACAACCGAAAAUGUAUUGUCAUUUACGAACUUAAUUUGAAUGUGGAAAAUAAUUUGAUAAGGAAAUAGGAGAAAGACGAAUGCAACCGAACCCAUUUCAAUUUUCAUUCAGAUUCAGAUUAUUUUUCACCAAAAUUUGAAUAUACAAUUUACAAAGAACUACAGCGAGAGUCCAAUCCAAACUAUUUAUCACACUCACAUCCAUGAUCCAAAUUUAAGUACACAUUUUUAUCUUGUAAAUAUGAAAAAGCAGCAACUGUGGUAGCUGUCAAGGGAUCCACAACAGGGGAGUGCAGCGGGCCAUCCCAGACUCCAUAGUCCAUCAACUAGUUCAGGAAAACAACACAAAAAUGGAGUCCACCAAGAAAGGCAAAAUUCAUAACCACAAAAGAGGAGGAAGCUGCUGGGCCAUAUUAAGCUAAACACCACAACUACCACUCAACACUCAAUAGUAAGCGGCCUACGUUGAUAUAAAUUACCGCAUCAAUUCUCAACUAACUCGUCCACACUUUGACUGUUUGACACGAAAACUUUUUGGGUCGUUUGGGUUAACUUAAAAGAAGUGAUUUCUUGCUUAAAUUAAAUAAGUGAAGUAGAAGUGAGGAAUAAAUAAGUUAAUAAAGUGUUUGGAAAAGAAGUAAAAGCUGGGAAAAAGAAGCUAAUAUUUUCGGCUUCUUAAAAGUACUUUUACUUAUUUACACAGACGGGUCAAGAGAAGUAUAAGUCAAAAGCAGCUUCAGCUUCUGUCAAACAAACAGCUCCUUUAUCUUCUGAUACUGAAGCUACAUGGAUGUUCCAGAUUACACUAAAUUUUCCACAGAGCACAUUUUUAUGCCGCAACAACAUCCUCGGCUACAGAGGUUCCCACAAAGGAUGAAUUUUGAUUCACUUAGAUAAGGUAAAUUACUCUGGAUUUGUACGUGUGGACUAUUCUCGAAAAACAAGUGCAGGUCCCUUGAUGUAGGUACGUGUCACUUACUCACUUGUUAUGGAGACGUGGAGUACGAGGUGGAUUGAAUAAGAGACACGUGUGUUCUACUGAUAACAUUUUUUAUUUUAAAAUUUUUGGAUGAUGAAAAUAUUUUCAGAAAAUUUGAAAAUAUACAGACAUGCUUGAUGUCAUCGAAGCAAUCAAUCAACCUGCAUCUUGAAUCUAUCAAUUGGAUCCUCAUAAUGUAACAGUUCUUCUGUCCCAAUUAUUCUUUUUACACUUUUUUCUGAAAAAUUGAAAUGCCUCAUCUUUCAAAAUUUAUUAAAUAGAAUAAAAUUUUAUAAUAUAAAAAUCAACUAUCUCAUUAAUUUUCUUCAUUAUACUUACUUUAUAUAUUAAAUAUCAACCGGUCACAUUAUUAUCAUCACUUUUUUAUUUUUUAUUUUUAUAUGAUAUAAAUAUUUAACUUUCAUGUUUAAUUCAAAUAUAAAUAUUUUGAAGGAGUACAACUUAUUUUGGACCAGAUGAAUUAGAACAUUCAAAUCAGUACGUAUCAGCAGACUUAAAUUGUGAAGUUUAAGCAUAACUAGUGUGUGGAAUCAACAUCUACGACCAUGACUUUUAAAAUGUUGCAUGAAAUCAAGAAGGUAAUAUUAAUGACUUGCAGGAUAUUUAAAAUAAAAUAAUAAAAAUAAAAAUGAUUUAUGGAUAACAUGUGUCUUAUGAUUAAUUUUUAUCAGAACAAAUUUAAAAAAUUUAAGACAUUAAAAAGAUAUUUCAAAUUAAUUUUUGGCUUGAAAUCAAUUUCUAUUUUAUUUUUAACUUUAAACCGACAUAUGACUUAUUAUCUAAACAAAUAUUUUUUAAUUUAAAGUCAAAAAUAUUUAGAGCCUGGACUUUUCAGACAAACAUGCUCAUAGCAAGAAGCCAAGAGCACGGGGCACGUGCCCUCCUAAAUUUGUUUUUUUAUAUUUUUAAUCAUUCUAAAUUUUAAAAAAUUAUAGAAACACUUCUAUAAAAUUUGAAAAUAUUCAAAUGUUUUCUGAAAAAUUGCUUAGUGCCUCCUAAAAUUUUGUGUUAACAUCCGCCUGUGACUCUGGGUAAGUGGUAACAGCAACAAACUCAUGGAUUAGACUUGUAGAAAAAUAUCGAAUUUCAGGCGAACACUUGGAAUCACGCAUACUCGAUCACACACUUUGCUCAAUAGAGUUACAACUAAGUAACGACAUUGUGUAACAACAACAAUGUCGUUAUGACGGAGCAACAGGGGCUAGUACUCACCUUCACUGCACAUAUCUUGUAUUACCUCCGUCCUAUCAAAUUUUUUGCAGUUUUUUUUAGACGUCGUUAAUUUUUUUACAUUAUAAAAUUUUUCUAAGAUAAUUAAUGGGUCUCACAACUUUCUCACUUUUCCUUUGUUUUAAUACUAUUUCUAUUUUUAUAUAUUAAGAAUCAAUGGACUCCAACACUUCACCUACUUUUUUUUUAUUUUUCCACUGUUUUAUACAUAUUUUUUAAUCUUCAUGCUCAAACCCAAUGUAAACAAUUAGUUGAGAUGGAGGGAGUAUUUUUUUCUUUUUCUUUGCCAAAUGUGAGCCAGUUUUUUCAUUAUAAAUAGAGCUCAAUCUUACCCAACUUCAGUAACUAAAACAAAGUCAAGUACUCGAAUUGUAUGCCCUAUAGCUUCAAUAUCUUUUGAUUUACUCUUAAAUUCUGAGAGUACUUCCAUCUAUAUAUACCAAAAACAAUGGCACCAGAGCAGAACCAUGCUAACGGCAUCAAUGCAGUGUCGAAGAGUGCUGAAAAACGAGAAAAGAAGGCUUUUGUGACAUUCUUGGUACGUUAAACAACUUCUGACUUUAAAGUUUCCCCUGUCUUUAUAAGUAGCUGCAGUGAUUUUUGCCUUGAGAGCAGUUCGUUUAAUAAAACUGGGUCACGUUUUGUUAUCUAUGGAGUAGCAUAUUUGAGUACUAUCCGUUUGUUACACGCCGAUAGUGUCUACAAAGCAUAAGUAAUUAUGCAACAGAUUAUAAAAACUGCAACCAAAAUUUACUUGUGACAUUGUUUAUUAGCUUAUUUGCUUUGGUUGUAAACUUGCAUAAUGCAAUACAUUUACUGGUGCAGCUUGAGGACUACAUCAAGAUGGUAUACUUAGAUGGGGAUAUUCAAGUAUACGGCAACGUGGACGAACUGUUUGACUUGCUGAAUGGUCAUUUGUAUGGUGCUUUGGAUUGUUUCUGCGAGCGGAGACAAGUUCAGGGAGGCACGUGUCAGAAAACCAGAUAAUAUUAGUGUCAAUGCUUUCGUAUCUGAUGAAAUUAAAGAAAAGGAAAAAUGAGCAGCAGUUUGGUUGCCUCCAGAAACUUAUCGACUAUAGUACUCAUCUAAAAGCUCCUGCGUACACCAUCUAUCCCUGUCCUUUUUGAUUUUUUGCGAUCAAAAUAACAAAUUUUGACUGCAAUUUACAUAUAUAAAAUAACUAAAAAAAAUUAUGAAAAAUAUAUUACUAGAAUCUACACCGAUUCUACUUUAAAAUGUAUUUUUUCAAUUUUAAAGAUUAUGUAAGAAUAAUUACUAAUUAUCGGUCAAAAUUUAUUCAAUUUGAUCAUAAAAAAUCAAACAAAACAGAUAAAUUAGGACUAAGGGAGUAUAGUAUUAUUUUAUUAGAGCCUGAGCCAUUUGUUUGAUUAUAAAUACAUCCCUUCUCAAUUCUUAUCACAUUCAAAACACAAACAAAUUCUGGAACUUACGAGCACGAUUGGAUAGCCCAGUGGUGGGUUUAUCCUCUGUUGACCCGGGGCACCCGGGUUCGACUCUGGCUCACCCCGAGAAUUAUUAGAACAGAUACUAAGUUGUAAGGCAUAUAAGCCUGCAUUGUCAAAAAAAAAAAAAAAAUCUGGAACUUACUAGCCAAGUAUUUUCAAAACCUAUAGUAAUCUGCUCUGUCCCAAAAACACACAAACACACCGCAAUCACAUCAACACCCUCGGGCUACAAAAGUUCCCACAAAGAAUGAAUUUAGACUCAACACCCUCGGGAAUGAAUUUAGACUCACUUGAUAAGGUAAAUUAUUCUAUAUUAAUAAUUUAAUAAUUGUGGACUAUUCCAGAAAAGCAAGUGCAUGUCACUUACUAUAGGUACGUGUCACUUACUAUAGCUAUGCGUAGGUGGAGUUGGGGUUGGAUCGAACAAGAGUCACGUGUUUUAAUUAUAUUAUUAUUUUUAUUAUUAUUUUUGUUUUAAGAUAUGUAGAUUAUAGUAAUAUUUUCAGUAAAAUUGAAGAUAUAGAGAUAUGCUUAAUGUCAUCGAAGCAAUCAACCUGCAUCUCGAAUCUAUCAAUUGGGUCCUGAUAAUGUAAUACUUCUUUUAUCCCAAUUAUUUUUUUUACACUUUUUUCUGGAAAAUUGAGAUGCCUCAUCUUUCAAAAUUUAUUAACUAAAAUAAAAUUUUAUAAUAUAAAAAUCAACUAUCUCAUUAAUUUUCUUCAUUAUACUUAUCUUAUAUAUUAAAUAUCAACCGGUCCCAUUAUUAUCAUUACUUUUCUAUUUUUUUUAUUUUUAUUUGAUAUAAAUAUUUAACUUUCGUGUCUAAUUUAAAUAUAAAUAUUUUGAAUGAGAACAAAGGGAGCACAACUUAUUUUGGACCAGAUGAAUUAGAGCAUUUAAAUCAGACCUAACUUGUGUAGUUUAAGCAUAACAAACAGAUGUAGUGUGUGGAAUCCCCCUAACUUUUAAAAUGUUUGUCUGAAAUCAACAAGAAGGUAAUAUAAAUGUAAGCAUAGCAAACAAUUUUUUAAUGUGUAUAUGGGCACACUAAUAUUAUUAUAGUAAAUUUUAUUGAUUUCAAUCACAUUAACAAUAAUGAUUUGUCUAUACACAUAAAUUUUUACUAAUAAUAAUUUAUAUUUAAAUAAUCAAAUAAUUAUUAAUGUGUAGUCAUGAACACAUACUAGAAUGACCCUUCCCAAAAAAAUAAAAGAUUGACACAAUAAAAUAACACCGCGCACAAAAAUAACGUCUUACCGUUAAUAUUAUGAACUAACAUGUAAUUUUACUGAAACAUUUUUUUUAAAAUUAUAAGAAACUAAAGUAUAGAUAAUUAAAUUUUGAUAAAAAUAAGAGAUAACAAAUUUGUAAUCACUUCUAAAUUAAUAAAUUAUAUAUGAAAUAACACAUUAAUUAUAUACAAAAAUACAAAAUUCAUUCACAAAGCUAUAUGACCGAAAUAUACGAAGGGCCCAUUUGGCUGAUUAAUACAAGCUUUUUGGUUAAGUUUAAAAUAAGUGUUUCUUCCUUAAUAUAAAAAGAUGAAGUAUAAGUUAGAAAAAAGUUAAUACUUAUAAGUGAUUAAAGUGUUUAAGAAAAAAGUAGAAGCCUUCAAACAAAAACUAAUAUUCUCAACUUUUUAUAAGUAUUUCUUGACUUUUUACACAAACAGUAUGAAUAAGUGCUUAUAACUUGUAAACAAGAAACAAGGCUUUUAACCCGACCAAACACCUCUAUAACUUAUGAAUGUAACUUAUUGUGAUAAGAUUGACAAUUUAACAUAUUUGUUUGGAUAAUUUUGAUUUAUUAAUAAUUUAUAGGUUAUCUAAAAUAAAAUUGAUUUAUGAGAAAUUUGUAUCUUAUGACUAAUUUUUAUCAUAACAAAUUUAAUAAAAUUAAAUCACUAAAAAUAUAUUUCAAAUUAACUUUUAACUUUAAAUCGAUAUCUGUUUUAUUUCUAAUUUUAACUGACUUGUGACUUAUUAUAUAAAUAAAUAUUUUUUAAUUUAAAAUCAGAAAUAUUAUGAGCUGGACUUUUUAUCCAGACAAAAAUACUCAUAGCAAGAAAUCUGAGUAACUAGCUUAUAACCCGUGUAAUGCACGGACGGUUAUAAUAUUUUUUAUUUUAGUGUAUAUAUUUUAAGUUUAACUAAUUUUAUUUUGAAAAUAAAAUGUGAUAGAGUAAUAUGGUUACAUCAUUUUUUUAUUUAACAGUUGUAUAAAUUCUUAAUAGUUAAGUUCGUCUAAUUGCUAAUUAAAAAUUAGGUCGAAUAUACAUAUUUUAAUUAUUAUGUUAAAUAUGUUUUUUACAUGUUAUAAUUUAAAGAGACUUAUAAAUGUAGAUAUAAACCAACCAAUCAAUCUUUUAAUAUUUCGUUAUUAAUAAUUAAUAAUAUAAUAUGAAACAUAUUAUAAAUUAAAGCGAAUAGUAAAUCCAAAUACCAACCUAAUUUUUAAUAGAUAAUAAAAAUAUAUAUUAUAAAUUAAGGAGAUCAGUGAGUUAAAUACCAACCGGCUCACCAAACUUGAAAGAUCGAUCUAUUGACCGACCAACUGAACUUUUCAGGUUUCGGCUUUAAUAAUAUGUAAUAUAUAGUAUAAUAUAGAUUGAUAAAUUACUUUUAAAGUGAGAUCAUUAGAGAAUUUAAAAGUAAUGUUAAUGUAUUUUGGUUGAAAAAUUUCACCCGUUACUUAUUAAUAAUUAUAUAUAUAAUAUAUAUUAUAUUUAUAUAUACAUGUUGCCUGUGUUAAUGGUAGAAAAUCGUCUUUUUAGUUAGAAAAUCUGAAAAGGAUAAUAUGUUUUAAUUAAAAAGGUAAUUACUAUGUUUCUCGAUGUUAUGUUACCACAAUUGAGAUUUUUUAGUUAGAAAAUAUAAAAAGAUAAUAUAUUUUAAUUAAAAGGAAUAAUUGAUUAUAUAGAUAUACUCAUAUUUCGGCCCAGGUAUCGACAAAAUCUAAAAAAGAUAAUAUGUUUUAAUUAAAAAGAUAAUUACUAUGUUACUCGAUAUUAUUUUAGAAGAUUGAGAUUUUUUUAUUGAAAAUUAUAAAAAAAAUAAUAUAUUUUGUGUCAAAGGAAUAAUUAGUUAUAUAGAUAGAUCCAUAUUUCGGCCCAAGUACCGACCAACUGAUCGACCGACCCACCAGUCAAACUUUUAUCAUAUCCGUUUUAAUAGUAUAGUAUAUAUAGAUAGCAACAAUUUGCUCAACAGAAUGACAAAGUAUAGUAUAUAUAUUUCGAAUAGUAUAUUUGGAAUUUGAUAGUAUAAUAUAUUUCGAAUUUAAUAGUAUAGUAUGGGCCUGUUUGGGAAUGAGAAUCAAAUUCUGCUUCUGCCUUCUGUUUUUCUGGACCCGUUUGUGUAAAGAAGUAGAAGCACUUUUAAGAAGCUGAGAAUACUAGCUUCUCUCUCACAGUUUCUGCUUCUUUUUCAAACACUUUAUUAACUUUUUUACUUCUCACUUCCACUCUCUUAAGGACAAAAUCACUUUUUUUAAGUUUGGCUAAACGGCCCCUAUAUUUCAAAUUUAAGGCAGUAUAUUUGGAAUCACGCGCAUUUAUCACACAAUUUGCUCAAACAGAAUUACAAGUAGACAACAAUGUCGUUAUGACGGAGCGGGGGCAGUGGCAUAUAUCUUCUACAUUUUUAAUAAAAAAAUUAUUUUAUCCUAUAAUUGUGGAACCGGAUUUUCCCGAUAAAAUAUAUCUGGUUCCCGUCGGACUAAAAUUUUAGCUCUGUCCAACCAUAAAACAUAGUAAAGUAUUUGGUAUAACACCAUUAACCUAAAUUUUUACUCCUUUGUUGUAACUCACAUAACACGUGAAAUAAGUGGGAGUUCAGAUUCUUCAAUUAGUCAUGCUCUGGUAACUAAAUUUGUUGAGAAAGCAGAUUAAAGGUAGAAGAAUAAUAAAGAAAGAGAUUAAGAAUCUAAUACGUAAAUUUAGAUAACUAUAUUAUUUUAUGUGGGGUUUACUAGCAACUAGCAAAUAGAAACUAUUAUUUUAAGUUGAUAAUAUCAUCAUUUAAGUAUGUAUCACGUUUUCGCAACUUAAAAUAUUGUCAAAAGAAUAAUCACCACCCAAAUUAAAAGGAUAUCGCACCAUUCCCACCAUUUAAGCAGUUCCGACUUCCAAACAUACGAGCGUGUGGACCUCGAGCUGUCGAGCAUGCAUGUUAGCUUUCUGUUUUCUUAUAUGGAUAUUUUUGUGGGAAUAAUAAUGCGGAAUAAAUUAAAGUCGAGUUAAUAUUAAUAACAGCAAUAGAAUAACUUAUGUAUCUGUUAAUAGUAUUCCCUAAUUAAAUUUUAAUUCUGAAUUAAAAGUUCAUAUCAAACAAAUUUUCCGCCAGUAGUAUAAAAACUUACGUACUCCUUCCGUUUUCGUAAUUUCUUUACAAUAUUUUUACAUUACAUUCAUAUAUAUUCUAUAUCAGAUAAAAUUUUAUAAAAAAAUUUCUAAACUUUUUUUGUUGAUAUACAUAUUAAAAUAAUAAAAUUUUAUUCUAGAAAAAUUUCUAUAUUAUUUAUAAAAAUAUAAUUUAUAAAAAUUUUAAAAUAUGUGAUAAACCAUUAUUUUCAAUUAAAUAAUGGAACGAGUAUUAGGUAAACAACUACUCCUUCUGUUUGUCCACUCCUGUGGACUAAAAAACAUCAACUUUCAAUAGAGUAUAGUUAAUAUUUGUAUUUUUCAAGAUGAGAUUUAUAUCACAUGUUAUUUUUUUUUUGACAGAUAUACCAUGUUACUUAAUUAUAUUUACUACAUCAAAUAUAUCAAUGUAAUAAAUAUAAUAAUAAAUGUGAGUUCUUUUGACAAAAGUUAGUUUUUCUUAAUAUGCCUAAUUUAUUCAAAAAUAGACAUGUAUUAUAAAACAGAAUGAAUAUUAAGUAAACAAUCACGGAACAAGUAUCAAGUAGCCUCAAGGCCGUGACUUCCUGAGUUCCUGAAGCAAUAGGUUUCACGGAUCUGAAAAUCUCAUCAAAGGAAAUUUCACAUACUUAUAUUUCACAUGAAUUUCAUACAUUCAAUACAAGCAUUUAAUGUAAUUACAUACACACACAUUUAAUAUAGCAAACAUAUUUAAUACACACACAUUUAAUGCAAAGAAAUGAAAAUCACUUACUUGAAAUGUUUGUAAGUAAUAAUUCUUCCCCACUUUAACUCCUUUCUUCUCCUUUGUUUUUUAUUUCAAGUGAAUAUGAGAGCUCACUACUAGCUAAAAGUGAUAUAAACGCUGCAGGUUAAAACCGACUGACCAAUCGGUCGGUUUUAGUACCAAACAAAAAAACGACGCCGUUUUAAGGGGCUGACGCACAUAUAUUUUUAUUUAAAUUGAUUUUUAAUUAUUUUUCCACAGACAACAAAACCGACCACAGAUAACGGUCGGUUAUAACGUUGCCAGGUCAUACAUAUAAUUAACCGUUGUCCACGGUCGGUUUUAUUUGUUGUCACGUCACCCAGAUCGUCGUCGUUUUGUGAUUUCGGCCAGAUAAAACAGACCACGCGACCGUCGGUCGGUUUUAGUUGCGACGGUCGGUUUUGUGCGGUCGAUUUUGACCUGUUUUCUUGUAGUGUCUGGUCUCCAAUUUCAUAUAGUCUGCUGUCUCCUGAAAGUUAUAGCAGCUGAUACUGUAACUAACUAGUGCUAUUUAGUAAACGGCCAGUCGUUCCUUAUUUGACAAUAAACGUGCCAAUUUAUCAAAAGAAACGUGCCAAUGUGGAGUAUUCUUUUCUUUUUCUUUGCCAAAAUUAAGAGCCAAAAUUUUCAUUAUAAAUAGAGCUCAAUCUUACCACACUAACCAAAACAAAGUCAAGUACUCGAAUUGUAUGCCCUAUAGCUUCAAUAUCUUUUGAUUUUCUCUUAAAUUCUGAGAGUACUUGCCUCUAUAUAUAUCAAAAACAAUGGCACCAGAGCAGAACCAUCCUAAUGGCAUCAAUGCAGUGUCGAAGAGUGCUGAAAAAGGAGAGAAGAAGGCGUUUGUGACGUUCUUGGGAGGGAGUGGUGACUAUGUGAAAGGCGUGGUUGGACUCGCCAAGGGCCUGAGGGAAGUGAACUCAGCCUACCCUCUUGUGGUGGCCGUUUUGCCUGAUGUUCCCCCUGAGCACCGCCUUUUGAUGGUGAAGAAUGGCUGCAUUCUCAAAGACAUUGACUGGGUUCAGGCACCCGAAAUGGACAAAUCAAAAGUAGGCUGGGCUCAUGAGCACUUCGCCAUUAACUACUCCAAGCUUCGUAUUUUCGAGGUACGUUAAACAACUUCUGACUUCGUAUUAUGCAAUAUUGCAAUAACUUAUAAAUCGUGCAACAAAAUUUACUUGCGGCAUUGCUUAUUAGCUUAUUUGCUUUGGCUUUAAACUUAUAUUUAUGAUCCAAUACAAUACUGUGCAGCUCGAGGAGUACUGCAAGAUGGUAUACUUAGAUGGGGAUAUUCAAGUAUACGGCAACGUGGACGAACUUUUUGACUUGCCGAAUGGCCAUUUGUAUGGUGUUUUGGAUUGUUUCUGUGAGUGGCAUCAUUCUCCUCAGUACAAGAUUGGCUACUGCCAACAGUGCCCCGAUAGGGUGCAGUGGCCAGCCGAAUUGGCACAAGCUCCGUCCUCUUAUUUCAAUGCUGGAAUGUUCGUGUUCGAGCCGAGUCAAGCCACUUAUGAUGAUCUGAUCAACACUAUCAAAAUCACUCCUCCCUCGUCCUUCGCUGAACAGGUAUAACAUAAAAUUUGUUGACAUAUUACUCCGACUCGUAAUAACAGUUAAGUGACCGGUUGUCCUAAAAUCUCGAAAUUACGUGCAGGACUUGCUGAACUUGUACUUCAGGGGAAUUUUCAAGCCCAUUCCGAAUAUUUACAAUCUUUUAGUUCCCAUGUUGUGGACUCAUCCGGAGAAUGUGGAGCUUGAUAAAGUGAAAGUUGUGCAUUUCUGCGCAAAUGUAAGAUACCGAUUACCCUGUCUCUGAUUCGGUUGUUUCUAUGAAUUUCCACCCGAAUGGAUUUACUUAUACACAUAUCUGUGCUUUUCCAAUGCUAGGGUUCGAAGCCUUGGAGAUACACCGGAAAGGAUGAACAUAUGCAGAGGGAAGAUGUGAAGAUGCUCGUGCAAAAAUGGUGGGACAUCUAUGACGAUGAUUCGUUCAGCUGCAAGAAGCCACUGGCAGCAAAGGUUCGAGGCAAGCGUGUGCAGACUAGCAGACCACUUAACUGAACUUGUUGUGUCUAUAAAUUUCGUGUUCCAUAUAUGUUCUAAGUUAUAGCAUUGUACUAAAGCAAGUGAUUAGUAGCUUGCGGUGUGUUUCUUCCAUUUUAUUGUUUUCCGGUUAAACUGUUUUUUAAACUUUCAACUAAUUAAACAUCGUUAUAUGUCUCUUAAUCAUCUGUUCACGCAUCAUGUUUGUGGUCUAUGUUCAUCAUCUAAAUGCAUCUGUAGGAAUAUAAAUAUAACAGUUCACAAGAUCAGACACUUUACCAAAACAAACGAUCAUAUACGACGGAAUACCGUAUUGCCUUGCCUAUCCUACGGCUACACAAAACGGAUUCAUGAUUAUAUAGUGAAAAUGUGUUUGGAAAAUCUUUCCGCUUAUGAAACGAGUCGCUAGUUAUUUAUAGUACUCAAGGACCAUGUGUUUGUGGUAUUUGCCUUUUGUACAUGGAAACUCGUUAUAAUAAUAAUUCUAUGAAAAACCGUUAGGCCGAGUUCACUUGCAUAUAAUGGAAUACGACUAGAAUGAAAUGAAAAUUGUACUCUAAAUUGGACGUGAUCAUUAGAUAAAUUGUCUAUAAUUUUCAUUCAUUUAUUUCAUUCCAACUAUUUAAACUAUAAAUAUAAUUAUCCACUAUGUUAUGAAAGGAAUAUUCAUUCCAUUUGUUAAUCUUGUUUCCCUGUUAUCUUCUUUAUAAAAAAACUUUAACUCACUCAUAUUUAUUUAUUAUAGUCUCAUACUUUGUUCUUUCUCCAUAAAAUUAUUCUAUAUAUUUAAUUGUCAUUUCAUUUCAUCCAAGUCAACGUAACCCUAUUUUGUUAGAAAGUUUAAAUAUUAUAACAAAAAUUUAAAAUAGAAAGAUGGCACCUUAGUUUUAUUCUAAAUUUGAGAUGUUUUUGGUUGGGAAUAUUUUACGAAUCAAAUAAAAAAUGAAUUAAAAACUGAGUGUUUACUGUAAGAAGUGGGACUUGAUUACAAUAUUGAUACUAUAUGUGACUCAUAAUAUAUUGUUAGGAAAAAUAAUAAAGAUAUCAACAACAAAUUUAUGUUGGAAAUUAGUAGAAAAGUUGAGAUUUUAAAUAUGAACGUUUUAAAAUUUGGAACAUGUGGAUUAAAUGAAAAUCAUUUGAAUAUUGCGUUUGAACUAGUAAAGAAAUUUGUGCAAAGAAAUAUUUAAUCAUUUUAGAAUAUAAAAAUGUAGUUCGACUGAUGUAAAAUAAUGGGGAAAGGAUAAAUGUAAAAAAAGAAUCACUAAAUAUACAGGUAAUCCAAAUUUUGAUGUGUCUCGUAUUGUAUACUCGUGUGUCUUUACUUAAAAAAUUUAAUCAGUCUAGUAAAUGAAAACGGAAAAAGAAAAAAAACAACUACUUAAUCAGGCCUCUUGAGAGAUUGUGCAGAGAAUACUCGAAGUACGUGAACUGUAUAUUGGUAGAUUAAUAAUAACAACAAAAGAUUAUAAUUGGAUUAUAAAUUUAAUUUAUUAGUCGAGUGUGAUAAUGGAUUGUUAAUACAGAUUUACAUUUAGAAUAAAAUUACUAUUAGUUUUGGAAUUAGGAUUCAGAACUCUAAAUAUUGUUUCUCUUAUUCUUUUAUAUUUUCUUAUGAGCACUCAAGUUUUCUUAAGAUUUUAUCAUCAACUUCGCCCUAUCAUGCUAUUGAAUUUGGUAGGGUUUUACAUACACAAAUUAAUAGAUUUUUGGAUUUAUAAUUUGAUUUAUAUUCUAAUUUUGCUAUAUAUAAUAUAAUAGUUCGAAAAAGUGAAAGCUUAAUUGCUUAUAAAGCAAACAUGGUUGAAAUCAUUGUUCCUCCUGCGCAAGUUUUGAAGUAAUAAUUGAUUGAAGUUGAGAAAGUAAGAAAUUUGAUGUACGGGGAGAAAUGAAAGUGAUAAUAUUAUAUACGAUUUAAAGGAAAAAUAACAAAAAGCAUUUCUGUGAAGGUAUUUGUCGUGUUAUCGUGAUUUAAUUCAGGAUAUUUGAUUUUAUACAAUAUCGAAUUUUAUUUAAAUGAACAAUGAGAAUGCAUCCUUUUAUAUUAACUCAAGAAAAAAAAUAGAAAUUAUGAAAUAUUCUCAAAACAUAUGAUAAGUGCAAGACAAUAAUAUUAUCGUGUAUCUUUUAUGUAUAUUUUUUAAAUAAUUAUAAUAGAAUCAAAUAAAAUCAAUUUUAUAAAUAUCAUAAUUUUAACUUACUGUAAAUUUUUUUUCGAAAUGCAGAAUUUACGUUAGACAAUCAAAGCAUCGUAAAUAAUGCUCUCCAACACCAAUGAUGGAGGAGACAAAAAUCAAUAAAGUUACUAUUUAACAAGUGGGCUACUUUGUUGGCAUGCUUCUAAUUAACUAGACAGAAAUGUCUAGGAGAUCCCUCAUGUGAAUGACUCUCUUGCAGCAAAUUGUCUACUUCAAGAAAGUUCUCCUUGUCCUUGCAGAUUGCUUGCACAGUGAGCAUGAAAUCACAUUCUAUCACUACAUUCUCUGUUCCCAGCUCCAUCACCCACUUUAUUGCCUCUAAAACACCACACGCCUAUGCUUCAAACACUGAAACCUCUCCUUCCUGACACAUACUUCGAGCUCCGUGGAAUGCUCCCUCAUGGUCUCGUAAGAUCAUACAAUUGAAUAAUUAGACCUCCCUAAGAAUACUGAUGCGUCUACAUUAACCUUAAAUUGAUUGACAUCUGGAGCUUUCCAUUGCAUUGCAUCACUGAUCAGUCUCUGAGCUCUUACAUUUGCAUGUCCUGUGUUCGUGUUCUGUGCUUCUCGUCACUGAGUUACCUGCUGCAAUCUUCAAGUCAACCGAAAUAUAAACAUUUAGGCGGCAUUACUUUGUUUAAAUAUAUCGUCUUUUAUGUUCCGCAUUGCAUGCUCCAUGCAGGCAGAAGCAGUUCAGAUGUACCAAAUGCCAAUUCAAAUCUCUCUUCUACAAAAGAGAUACUCUUUUUUGUGUUUUCGCAACAGCCUUUUCGACAUUAUGAGUUAUCUUCGAUUUCAAGUAUAUAAUAUUGCAUCGAUCUCCUGACCUUUUGCUCCACGUACGGUGAAACUAAUUCGCGAGAAGUUUAAUAUGGCCGAACUCGAAUAAUUCUAUUUAAUCAAGUACCUUAUCAAAAAUCAAGCUGGACUCUGACUUUCAUAUAUUUGAUAAGUCUCAGAUUCUGUAAAAAAAAAAAAAAAAAGAUGAGUCUCAGAUUCAAAUAAAUAUAAACCAGAACGCGCACAUCAUUAAGUGUAAACAUCCAUGUUAUUAACUACUUUGGGAAAAAUUUGUCCGACUAAGAUUGAAUAUCAUGAGUGUAUCAAGUGAUAAAGGGAAAACUUUACAUCUGAGAUUCACUGUUCUAUACAGAAAACCUUCAUUAUAAAAAACAGUUUGGUUUAAAAAUAUUUACGACUUUAAACUGUUCGUUAAAAUUAGAAACUAACCUAAAUUAAAAUAUAAGUUAGAAAAUGAUUAGCUAAUUCCAAUCAGAUUUCGACGGUAGAAAAUAUUCGUGAUUCUUGUAAUGGAAGUUAGUUCUAUGCACAUUUUUUCUAUCAACUUAUUUUAAUUUUAUAAAUUUUUAAAUAAAAUUCAAUUUCAGCAAUAAAAUAAAUAACUUAAAUAUCAAAAUCAAUUAUUAUUUUUUAAUUCACCUAUAAUUUAAAAUUGCUCACAUUAAGCCAGUGCAAGGCACAACUCAUUAUUUUAAACCUAUCCGAACGUGUUCUAAAUUUAUUAAUUGAAAAAAGACCCUACUUAGCUAAAUACAAAAAAUAAUUAUUAAAGAUAAUAAUGUCAUAUUAAAGUUAUAAUAAAUAUGUACCACACAAUUUAAACUUGCAUGUACAUGCAAUAUAUGUAAUAUACGUACAUAUGCGGAUACUUCUUUAUAGAUAAGAAAAACAAGGACAUGACGGGAGUCCAAUAACCAAGUUGCUGGACGAAAACGAAAUAUAGAAAACAAGUUGCAUAAUAAUACAAGUGCUGCAUUAACUUAUUUGAUCCAUGCUUUCCAAGAAGUUGUGAUAAACAAAAAUUUGCAUGACUGAGCUAGUCGGACGCUCCACACGGAUGUCCAUAUCAAUGAGCCUACUCAAUUAUAGUGCACUUGCUUAGAAAUUUGACCUGUCGGACAAUAGGCGCGGGACAAUAAUCUCACGUUUCGAAUUGGCCGGUGAAUUUUUACCAUAAAUAAAUUCACGUUUGAUUUUGCGAUGUAUGUCUGAGCAUGAAUAAUACAGUAAAGAAUUGAAUUAAAGUCUAUAAGUAGACCCCUUAGAAUAGAUUCCUCUGAGUAUAAUAUUGGCCAAACAAUUUGGUGCUCGUGUGGGGUUACCACACAGAUUUGAUAUUUUAUGCUUUCGUUCUGGUUGGUUCUUCUGCAUUCUUUCUCUUAUUUUAAGUAAUGAUAAUUAAUACUCCCUCCGUCCGGAUAGGUUAUAUACAUUUGGUGUACACACAUAAACCAAGAAAAACUAUAAAAAAUGAGUAAAGUUAGAUGAAAAAUGGGUAAAGUGGCGGGACCUAUUUAUAUUUAAUUAUAGAAUUGUGAUAGUGGAGGAAAGUUUUGACUGUAAUAAUGUUUAUAUUAUGAUAAAAUGAAGAUAAUGGGAGAAAGUAGUUUGUGUGAUAGUAUUUUAUAUUAUUAAAAGUUACUAUUUUAGGAAUGUAGAGAAACGAUGAAACAUCCAAAAAAAAUUGUAUAAAAAUGAUUGGGAUAGAGGGAGUAUUGUAUUUUAUAUAAGGGGGCUCCCACAUUGUUUCACGUGUAAGCAUACGCUUGAAUAGACAUUUUCAUCGGUUUUCCAUUUUUAACUUGAGAGUGUGAGAGCAAUAUUGGUCUAGACAAAAAAAUAGAGUUGUAAUAUUUGUCAUAUAGAGAUUUAGUUGAUCCAUGUAAUGUAUUUGCUGCCAGAUGUGAGAUGAAUAUCUUUUAUUUGAAACGGAUAUAUUUUAUUGUAAGUUAUGUAUUACACUUAUGUAAUUUGAAAUAUUACUUACAAGAUAUAUAUUUAAAACCAUUAAUUUAAUUUUAUAUCAAUAUUAUUAUGUACGUAAUAAAGAUGAAAAUAAUAUAAAAAUUAUUUACCAAACUCACAUACCUACCCCUAGUGAAAAAUUCAUAAUUCUUGAGUAUUAGAUUUUCAAAUUUUCAUCUUUUAAAUUACAUAUAAUGGAUGAAUUUAAAGUGAUUAAAAGAUAUAUAUGAUGAGUAAAACGCCCUUUAACAGGCCGCAAAUCAUAUAGUUUAUCAUAUAGUUUUGGUUCUUGGUGGCAGCCGUUGCAUGAAUUCUGACCACCUUUUAGUACCAUACGUAAUUCAUAACUGCAUCGCCAUCUCAUGAAGAUCCGUGAUCUUUGACAUUAACUGUACUUGCUCGAUCAUAUGUGUAUGGAGUCGGGUGGCCUGGACCAAACCUAGCUAGGUCAGGACUAACUAAACCUAACUCCUAUCUUUCAAGAAAAUAAACUCUAGGUUUAGUAUCCAUAUAACAUAUAUAGGCAUCGCAAUUUGAAACGUAAUACGUUAACACGAAACGAAACGACACAAAAAAAACGGAUAUGAGUUUUGAUUUUUGAUACACAAAACACGAAAGUACACGAACACGAAAUUACACAAUAGAUUUCAUAUCGGAUAUGGGUUUUCAGUUUGGAUACACGAAAUACACGAAAAUACACGAAAUAUUUGUACAUAGAUUUCAUUAUAUAUAUAUAUAUAUAUAUAUAUAUAUGUUAUAAUAUAUUAUAUAUAUAAUUGUGUUAAAUAAAUAUAUAUUUAUAUGAAUAUGAAGAUACAUAUUAUAGAUACAUUAACAAAUUUGUAGAUAAUUGUAUGCGAGCAUAAAUAUAUCAUUCAUAUUUAGUAAAACUAUACAGAAAAAUAUAUAUUAAAGCUAUAUUUUGAUUAAAAAUAUAUUAAUAUAUAUAUAUAUAAUGUAUACGAAAAAUACACGAAACGUUUCGGAUCGGAUACAGGUUUCAAAUUAGGAACACGAAAUUAAUAACGGGCGGAUACGGGUUUCACCUUUGAGUACACGAAACACGAAAAUACACGAAACGAAAAUAUACAAAACAAAACGAUUACCACCUCAAUCCAUAUAGUCCCUGUUUAGUACUCGACACAUAUUUUAAUGCUAUAAUAUAUUUUAAUGUUUAAACUUUUGUAUAGAAAAGAAAAUUUUAAGAAUAAAUGAUGAAAUUAUGUUUUAAUAUGUGACUUAAAAUACGUUCAAACAAUUAAAAAAAACUGCAAAGAAAAUGAGAAGGACGGAGAGAGUAUACAUACUACAUAUACCAUAUGCCGUGAAUGUUUGUUUACUUUAUAUUAAAAUUUAAUCACAUAUGUAGUGGAAAAGUUAUGUCUGCUUAUAACUAAGAUAUUUCAUUUAUAUAUUUUUCAUUUAUUUACGAAAAUAAACAUUUAAAAACUUAAAUUAAAAAUUACAAUAAUAUAGAUAUGAAAUUUUAGCUAAAUCUCAGAGUAUCCAAGGGUUAAGGUGCAGGGUCAUCUGCCUCGUGUCCUUGAGAACCUGUACGGCUGUACCCAUGCAUAAAUACGUGCGAAUUACAGUAUGUACUACUGUAUUAAUUACCUAUAGGUACUCAGUACUCGGUGUAAUUUUGUCCUUACUUCGUCUCACCAGAUUUUUUACAGUUUUUUUUAAGCCGUCUCACUCAUUUAUUUACAUUACAAAACUUUUCUAAAAUAGUUAAUGGGUCUCAUAAUUUCCCCACUUUUUCUUCCUUUUCACACUACUUUUACUCCACUAUAUUUAAAAAUCAAUGGGUCCCGCCACUUCACCAAUUUUUCUUCCUCUUUUCCACUACUUUAUACAUAUUUCUUAAUCUCCAUGCCCAUGUCCAAUGUAAAGAAUUGGGUGGGACGGAGGGAGUAAUCUAAUAGACUUCUGAAAAAUUACGUAAAAUGUUACUCCCUUUGAUUCUUUUUAUUUUGCCGGUUUCAUAUGUUGGCACUGUUCAUGACACGAGACAAAUUACUUAUUUACGUCUAAUCUAUAAGAUUAAAUAUAGUAAUGAGUGAUUUUGUUGAAUUCAUAAUUACGAGUAGUUUAAUAUGAUGAAGUUUAUUUAUUCAAUACAAAUACAAAAUUAAAGAUAUUAAUGAUUAAAAGUGUGUGUUGGCAAACGUGACAAAGACAAAUGAGAAAAGUAUUUAGGGAUGGAGGGAGUAGCAACCGCAAACCCUGACUUGACCAUAUGAUACAGCGUGGAUCCAAUAUUAUAUCAUAAUUCAAAAAUAUUGUUGUUUAGCAAAUUAUAUUUUGACGGCAAAAUUGUAUUUAGAUGCUGCGAAUUACUUGUUUGAUUUCUUUUCCAGUUACCGGCCUGUUUCAUCUCUUUCUCCGUCCUGGCCUCGAACUAGGGAUGACAUUCAAUGAUUUAAUAAAACGAGCCACAUUAACCCAGGAGUAUUGAUCAGAAAAUAUCUAAUCAACCGGAUUUGUCAGACCCAUUGUGACUUUGGUCGACCUUCGUUCGAUAGCAAAUUAGUUCUGUCAAAAUUGUGUAACUGCUAGUUUUCGGUCAAAAUUUAUCAGUAAGUUUGCCUUUUCUGUUCUUCAAAUAUAUUUGUCGAAAAUAAUUAAUUAAUAGUUCUUUUUAGUAGGAAUAGUAUCCCUAUAUAAUUCUAGAGAAGUUGCAUUAUUAUCAUAUUCAUUCACUCUUUUUUAAAUCAGUUUCAUGCCCUAAUUUUAAUUAAUAACUUUAGACGGUAUUUUUCCUUUCAUCCUUUCCUUUUCGAAGUCCAUUCUGAUAUGAAAACAAACAACAAAACUCCAAAGAAAAUGAGCAAAACAGUUGUCUGUAGAAGGCUACAGUGUACAGCUACCAGCCAAUAUUUUCUUUUUUUACAAAAGAAAAGAAAUUAAAUAAGAGCCAGCAUUUUUCAUUAUAAAUAAGGACCAUCUGACCACCUUCACUACCAAAAAAAGUGUGGUGCUUGCAAAUAUAUGCCCAUUAGCUUCAGUAGCUAUUGAUUGUUUUGUUUGAGAGUUGUUUAAUUACAGAUAUCUCUUACAUACAAUCGAUGGCACUGGUACUAGAACAAAAUCAUCCGAGUGGUGUCCGUACAAUGUUCAAGAAUGGUGAAAAGGGCAAAAAGAAGGCCUUUGUGACGUUCUUGGGAGGUAGUGGUGACUAUGUGAAAGGUGUGAUUGGACUGGCUAGGGGUCUGGCUAACGUUAACUCAGCCUACCCUCUUGUUGUGGCUGUUCUGCCUGAUGUUCCUCUGGAGCACCGCCUUCUGAUGGUGCAGAGUGGUUGCGUUCUCAAAGAUAUUGAUUGGGUUCAGCCUCCAAAAAUUGAUGAAUCAAUAGGGUGGGCUCAUGAGCACUUCGCCAUCAACUACUCCA